rnacentral:rRNA from 1 species
GUCGAAGCGGUAACAGGUCUAGCUUGCUAGACGCUGACGAGCGGCGGACGGGUGAGUAAUGCAUAGGAAUCUGCCCGAUAGUGGGGGAUAACCUGGGGAAACCCAGGCUAAUACCGCAUACGUCCUACGGGAGAAAGGGGGCUUCGGCUCGCGCUAUCGGAUGAGCCUAUGUCGGAUUAGCUAGUUGGUGGGGUAAUGGCCCACCAAGGCGACGAUCCGUAGCUGGUCUGAGAGGAUGAUCAGCCACAUCGGGACUGAGACACGGCCCGAACUCCUACGGGAGGCAGCAGUGGGGAAUAUUGGACAAUGGGGGCAACCCUGAUCCAGCCAUGCCGCGUGUGUGAAGAAGGCCUUCGGGUUGUAAAGCACUUUCAGCGAGGAAGAACGCCUGGCGGUUAAUACCCGCCAGGAAAGACAUCACUCGCAGAAGAAGCACCGGCUAACUCCGUGCCAGCAGCCGCGGUAAUACGGAGGGUGCAAGCGUUAAUCGGAAUUACUGGGCGUAAAGCGCGCGUAGGUGGCUUGAUAAGCCGGUUGUGAAAGCCCCGGGCUCAACCUGGGAACGGCAUCCGGAACUGUCAAGCUAGAGUACAGGAGAGGAAGGUAGAAUUCCCGGUGUAGCGGUGAAAUGCGUAGAGAUCGGGAGGAAUACCAGUGGCGAAGGCGGCCUUCUGGACUGAUACUGACACUGAGGUGCGAAAGCGUGGGUAGCAAACAGGAUUAGAUACCCUGGUAGUCCACGCCGUAAACGAUGUCGACCAGCCGUUGGGUGCCUAGCGCACUUUGUGGCGAAGUUAACGCGAUAAGUCGACCGCCUGGGGAGUACGGCCGCAAGGUUAAAACUCAAAUGAAUUGACGGGGGCCCGCACAAGCGGUGGAGCAUGUGG